AUGAAGAAACGUAGGGACUAAAUCGAAAGAAAUAAAUUGAGAGAGGAGAAGAGAAGAGAAGAUAUUGGAUCUCAUCUCUCAUCUCUCAUCUCAGACGGUAUCAGAGAGGAGAGGACCACGUCCACGUCGCAUCGCAUCACUUCGACACUUCUCUUCCUCCCUGCUUCGUUCAGCUUCGGCGGCCGAUCUCAUUACCACUUCCCGUAAUCGGUGCCUCCUCCUCGUUGAUUCUCUACUUUGAGGUUACCUGUUGCUGAUUAUACCUCGUGGUUGCGACGGGAGGCGGCGUCCACCAUCAAUCGUCGGUUUGCUCCUGCAAUUCAGGCGAUGGCGGACUUGAAGGAGCGUCUGCUCCCUCCAAAGCCUGCAUCAGCUAUGAAUCUAAGAGAAUCUUCAAACAGGCCAUCUGCCUCUGGCCGUCUCCCGUUUCUUGGAGUUGAUGUUUCAGGUCUGAAAAAACGUGGGCAAGGACUGCGUUCGUGGAUAAGAGUUGAUGCAACUGGAAAUUCCCAAGUGAUUGAGGUGGACAAGUUCACGAUGAUGCGCAGAUGUGAUCUUCCUGCUCGUGAUCUGAGAUUAUUGGACCCGUUAUUUGUUUAUCCGUCCACUAUUCUAGGCAGAGAGAAGGCAAUCGUUGUGAAUCUUGAACAGAUUAGAUGCAUCAUCACUGCGGACGAGGUCUUGCUCUUGAACUCCCUUGAUAGCUAUGUACUGCAGUAUGUGGUGGAGCUGCAGAGACGGUUGCACACUGUGGGAGUAGGCGAGGUUUGGCAGCCGGAUAACCCCGAGACAAACAGAAGGAGAGGAAGCCGGAAUUUCGAUAAUAUGUUUGGUAAUGUUUCUCCUGAUUACUUACCAUUUGAGUUCAGAGCUCUUGAAGUUGCUUUGGAGGCAGCCUGCACUUUCCUGGAUUCGCAGGCUGCAGAAUUAGAGAUUGAGGCAUAUCCACUGUUGGAUGAACUAACAUCGAAGAUCAGUACACUAAAUCUAGAAAGAGUUCGUAGGCUAAAAAGCAGGCUUGUUGCAUUGACUCGGAGAGUUCAGAAGGUCAGAGACGAGAUAGAGCAAUUAAUGGAUGAUGACGGAGACAUGGCCGAAAUGUAUCUUACCGAGAAGAAAAAACGCCUGGAAUCUUCAUUUUAUGGGGACCAAUCCAUGAUGGGCUACCGGUCAAAUGAUGGUGCAUUGUCUAUUUCUGCCCCCGUUUCUCCACUUUCUUCACCACCUGACAAUCGAAAGCUUGAGAAAUGCCUGAGCAUAGCAAGGAGCAGACACGAGAGCAUUAGGAGCACAGAAAGUGCUACAAAUAGCAUAGAAGAGCUGGAAAUGCUUUUGGAGGCUUACUUUGUGGUCAUCGACAGCACGCUCAACAAAUUGACUUCGCUCAAGGAGUACAUAGAUGACACUGAAGACUUCAUCAACAUUCAGCUGGAUAAUGUUCGAAACCAGCUUAUACAGUUUGAGCUAAUACUCACAACCGCAACUUUUGUUGUUGCGAUAUUUGGAGUGGUGGCCGGGAUAUUUGGCAUGAACUUUGAUGUACCAUUGUUCAAAUAUCGGAACUCAUUCAAAUGGGUCCUAAUCAUUACUGGAGUGGCUACUUCAGUUAUUUUUUGCACGUUUUUGUGCUUUUUCAAGUACCGGCGGCUGAUGCCACUGUAGAUCAGAGCAACGUAUGAAGCUGCUGGUGCUGGACUUGAUAUAGGAAGCUUACAUAUUGCAAGCUACUAUAACAUCAAAACCUAAUACAUAACGGCAGAUAAAAUAUCUAAGAAUGCAUUCAUCUCAACAUAAGAUUGAACACAGGUACAAUAAAAAAUACAGAGAGAUUAUAAACGUACGGGAAUUCAAUUUCGAGACGAGUUUUUCCAUCUUGGAGAGCGUAGUAAAGCGAAGUGGCGGCGUCCGACACAAGAACCUCAUAUGAUCGGGGU